rnacentral:rRNA from 1 species
GUCCACGCCGUAAACGAUGGGUACUAGGCGUCGGGGGGAGCGACCCCCUCGGUGCCGUCGCUAACGCAGUAAGUACCCCGCCUGGGGAGUACGGCCGCAAGGCUGAAACUCAAAGGAAUUGACGGGGGCCCGCACAAGCGGUGGAGCAUGUGGUUUAAUUCGAAGCAACGCGAAGAACCUUACCUGGGCUUGACAUGCACGAGAAAGCCGGUGGAAACAUCGGCCCCUCUUCGGAGUUCGUGCACAGGUGCUGCAUGGCUGUCGU